UCAUGGAACUUGCAAUCUGGUCAGAGAGAGAGAUCCCCAACAAGUAGAGACGUAUAUAUAUGGUGUGUCAGGUGAUGAGAAACGCUAAAACAAUCCUGAGAUGAGGAGGCUGAGGCCAAAGGAAAGACUAAGACCUGCCCGUGGACACAUGUUGGCAAAGACCAAGCAGGAACUCGAGCCAGUUUACCUGAAACCAAGGUCCAGGCAUUUGUGAAGGUAGAAGGCUGAAUAAAUGAAAUUGUAUAAUUAUA